AAUUAAAACAUAAUGGAAUAAAAUAAUGUUUUCGGUUAGUAUUGCGAUAACUUACAACUAGCAUCAUGACAGUUAUCAACUAAUUGACUGAGAACGCGCAUAAGCAUAUUUUCAGAUUAUCUAAAAUACUUAAUUAAAAAGACAAACAGACUAAGACAUAAUUCUAAGGUGACUUACGAGAAUCGCAAAAUUUUUUAAAUAAG